CAGUACAGCAUAUUUUUCUUCUCUGAGGCCAAAAUAGCAGUGAGGUGUUGACAGCACCUCUGUAGCUUUAGGCUUUGAUAAUAGUUUUGGCUAUAGCAAAACCAAAGCGGGUUUAAGCUGGAGAGCUUGAAGAGUAAUGAAGCCAGCUUCUUGCUGACAGAUAUGUUCCUGAGCUUAUAGGAGUCCCUUUUCGGCCUCCUAAGAACAACUGCAUAAAUGGAUCCCACUUGCCACCAGCCUUCUUAGCUUAUGAAUCCCAGGAAAACAAAUAGCAGAUUUAAGUUGAUUGGAAUAGACAAAUAGCCUCCAGAUGUGACAAGUUUGAAGGGUAA
rnacentral:lncRNA from 12 species